rnacentral:lncRNA from 1 species
CAGGCAUACUACUUAGGACAUAGCUAAUAAAUUGCAAACGCAUUUUAUAAAUACUUCAUAACAAUAUAAACCUACACAUGCAUGCCUACAACUUAUAAACAAUGUAGCAUAUGCAAAAAUUAUAGGAUUCUAGAUGAUCAAAGGUAUCCACUUGCCUGAGCCUGAGUUGCUGUAACGAUCAAAAUUUCCCUGGCACUCUUCGCACUCACACUCGGGAUAAUCUAUCGCGAAAAACGAAAACAACAAUGAAUAACUUGUUCAACAACUCCAAAUUAUAACUCCAAUAAGAGCCGGAUAAGAAUUACAAAAAAAAACUUAAAUUUAGAAAAGCAGCUAACAAGGCACAACUAAUACUAAUCCAACCGCAAGCACAGAUCUAAGGCUAGGGACAAGAUUUGGAACCAAGUGGAGACAAAUGAUAACCUACGAGCUGAUAGCAGAUAGCGAAUCUAACGGGAAGGGGACUGUCGAAACACGUCUGAACUAAUGGUACGGAAGGUACUGAAACUAAUAACAUAACUUAAGGCUUAUAACACAGAAAGUUUCAUCUAAAACGGAGCUACGAAACAAAAGAUACAAGCCUACGAAAGUAGCUAAUCAAAAACAACAUUCUGUGAAUACAGUUUUCAAUUAUUAUUCUAGUAGUGUAAUCUAAUUACAUGUUACAUGAAAAGUGUUCUGAGGUGUAUAGUUUUAACCAAUGUUUACAUUACAGAAAGAAUAAACGAAAAGGGGUUUAUAGGUUUUAAACAUUAAGCUCUACAAAGUGUCUAAUCAAUAACAGUGCUGGCUAGACUAAACCGGUGUCUGAGUUCUUUUUAACAGGUAGCUAGUUUUGACAAACUUUUAGGUCAUUAUCUAAACCGACAAAAGGUGCAAAAAAAAUAACAGGGUGUAACACAAGACCUACUCGUCAUCCUACAGGAGCUCACAACCUAAACGGGUCUACAAUCUACUCAACAAGAACGUCGAAAGGUAUCUAAUCUAAAACAGACUAACUGGGAAUACCGAUUUGGAACGAUGAUGCACUGCUGAAGAUGAUAGAGACGGGGCUUCUAAAGAGGUCUAAUUUAUAGAGCAAGAUGUAAGCUACCAGAUGCAAAAAGAAUUUCCUAAAUAGGAUCUACGGAACAAAAGAUACGGAGUAUAGAAGUAGGCUAAUCAAAAUAGACUGCAGCCCGAAAACAGAGCAAGAAAGCUCACCGGAGAAGAUGGAGUUCGCCGGAGUUGAUGGGAGUCGGCGAAACAGAGGUUUCCGGAGGCAAGGCUGUGGUGUAUGGUGUUCUAGGCGUCGAUAGGGAUCUAAAGGUGGUGGUGGCUCGGGCUAAUUUGGGGCGAGGCGGUAGGAAUUGCUCGCCGGAGUUUGCGUGGAAACGGCGACAAAACUUGAAAUUGGUGGCAAGGUUGACUGCGGCUUCGAGCUAGAUUUCGAGAGAUUGGUCUGGGCUCUCAAGGGCGUCAGCUUGGGAUAUUUAUAGGGCUCGGGGCGCUCGGGAUAAGGCCGGCGGCGGGUGAGAUUUGAACAGGAUUCGGUUUCGCUUAAAAUUCGGACGAGAUAGAGUCCGGGAGGGUUUCAAUCUUGUUGGGAUAGAUUCCUUGCUGUGUGGGUCACGAAUUAGCGAAGAAAUCGCGGAAAAAAACGGUUCAGAGGG